rnacentral:lncRNA from 11 species
UUUGUACUGAACAUGAAACAGACUUUAGGAGUCAUCAGAGGUUUACAAAAUUCAAGUGAAAACAUUUUGGCCAGAACUUCACCCUCUCUCCCUCAAUGCAGGCGGCUUGUUUGCUUGUGCAGCGCACCACCCUCUCUGCUCGGAAACCCACCCAAGAAUGGCUCGCCAGGGCUAUGGAGGGGGCUUUUAUGGAGAUCUUCCACGUGGACGCAGAGGACGCUAGCCCCCACCUUUCCAUCCAUCGUGGAAGCGUCUGAUUUGCCUGGGAGCGGCAGCCAUUUUAGGCUGCGCUAGGCUCCCAUUCAAGACAUGAUCAAAUGACUGAAGACCCUACCAGGAGAAGUGACAACCCU